AGGGUUUGAUUAUGGCUCAGGACUAACGCUGACGGUAUGCCUUAUACAUGCAAGUCGAACGGUAAGGUCUCUUCGGAGAUACACGAGUGGCGGACGGGUGAGUAACACGUAGGAAUCUGCCUUAGAGCGGGGGACAACCAGGAGAAAUCUUGGCUAAUACCCCAUAGGUCGUAAGAUUAAAGGAGCAAUCCACUCUAAGAGGAGCCUGCGUCUGAUUAGUUUGUUGGUGGGGUAACAGCCUACCAAGACUACGAUCAGUAGCUGGUUUGAGAAGAUGAUCAGCCACAAUGGGACUGAGAUACGGCCCAUACUCCUACGGGAGGCAGCAGUAGGGAAUCUUGCGCAAUGGGCGAAGGCCUGACGCAGCAAUACCGUGUGAGGGAAGACGCUUUGAGGAGUGUAAACCUCUGUCGGGAGGGACGAAUUUUGACGGUACCUCCAAAGGAAGCACCGGCUAACUCUGUGCCAGCAGCCGCGGUAAUACAGAGGGUGCGAGCGUUGUCCGGAUUUAUUGGGCGUAAAGCGUUUGUAGGCGGUUUGCCAAGUCUGAAGUGAAAGAAUGAAGCUCAACUUCAUCCCCGCUUCGGAAACUGGCAGACUAGAGAAUGUUAGGGGUAAGUGGAAUUUCCAGUGUAGCGGUGAAAUGCGUAGAUAUUGGAAGGAACACCAGAGGCGAAGGCGACUUACUGGGACAUUUCUGACGCUGAGAAACGAAAGCUAGGGUAGCGAAUGGGAUUAGAUACCCCAGUAGUCCUAGCCGUAAACGAUGAAUACUAGACGUCAUGGGAAUCGACCCCCGUGGUGUCGAAGCUAACGCGUUAAGUAUUCCGCCUGAGUAGUACGUACGCAAGUAUGAAACUCAAAGGAAUUGACGGGGACCCGCACAAGCGGUGGAACAUGUGGUUUAAUUCGAUGCAACGCGAAGAACCUUACCAGGGUUUGACAUCUAUGGAACCUCGCAGAGAUGCUUGGGUGCCUUCGGGAGCCAUAAGACAGGUGCUGCACGGCUGUCGUCAGCUCGUGUCGUGAGAUGUUGGGUUAAGUCCCGCAACGAGCGCAACCCACGUCGUUAGUUACCAUUAUUUAGUUAGGGACUCUAACGAGACUGCCGGUGUUAAACCGGAGGAAGGUGUGGACGACGUCAAGUCAUCAUGGCCCCUAUACCCUGGGCUACACACGUGUUACAAUGGCCGGUACAAUGGGUUGCCACUUGGCAACAAGGAGCUAAUCCCUUAAAAUCGGUCUAAGUUCGGAUUGCAGGCUGCAACUCGCCUGCAUGAAGGAGGAAUCGCUAGUAAACGCAGAUCAGCAUGCUGCGUUGAAUAAGUUCCCGGGUCUUGUACACACCGCCCGUCACACCACGGGAGAUGGUAACGCCCAAAGUCGGUGACUUAACCCUUAUGGGAGAGAGCCGCCUAAGGUAGUACUGUUGACUGGGGUGAAGUCGUAACAAGGUAGCC
rnacentral:rRNA from 1 species